AGUAACACGUGGAUAACCUACCUAUAAGACUGGGAUAACUUCGGGAAACCGGAGCUAAUACCGGAUAAUAUUUUGAACCGCAUGGUUCAAAAGUGAAAGACGGUCUUGCUGUCACUUAUAGAUGGAUCCGCGCUGCAUUAGCUAGUUGGUAAGGUAACGGCCUACCAAGGCAACGAUGCAUAGCCGACCUGAGAGGGUGAUCGGCCACACUGGAACUGAGACACGGUCCAG
rnacentral:rRNA from 1 species